GUUCACCAGCUUUGGGUUGGAAAAGUUGGGGCAGCUCAGCUGAACCAUUAGUGAAUCUCCUAUGUCCUGUGAAAUAUGAUCCUUCCCAAACUAACCGGAAGAGGCCGGACGGAAGAAUUCCAGUAAGGAGGUGGAGCUACCUGCACCUUUAUUCUGAACCUUCGAAGGGGUGCGUUGAAGAUCAAGGCGGAGAUAGAACUGAGCCUGCAUUGUUUGUGUAAAACAAACAUGUCAUAAAAACAAAGCCAUGCAUAUGUAAUGAAGUUUUUCAGUAAUACAGUACUGGGACCAAAGGACUGGAGAGAUAGCUCAGCAGUUAAGAGCACUUGUUCUUGAAGAAGACCUGGGUUCAAUUCCCAGCACCCACAUACAGAGGUGCUCACCACCAUCUGUAACUCUAAUUUCCAGGGGAUCCAAUGCCCUCUUCGGACUUCCUUGGGCAGCAGGCUUGCACAUGGCACACACGCAUACAUAAACAGAUGCCACAGCACACAUGUGGAGGUCAGAGGCCACCCUGCAGGAGUCACUUCUCUCCUGCCCCCAUUUGUGUCUUCGAGAUCAACCUCAGGUGACCAGGCUUGGUGGUUUGUCCAGCAGAUGGCAGAAGAGCCUUUAAAAAAAUCUUCCUUACCAGAAAUUUCUCUAGUUAGUGGUACAGUAACCAGAAUGAGGUCAAGAUAUUUAAAGCCGGAGUGGGAUGUGCUAAAACUCACAUAAAAAUAAAAUUGUGUCAAUUUUUGCUAAAUGCGUGUGUUAAAACAUCACGAUGAAACCCAUUAUUUUGUACAUUUAAUACACAUAAUAAAUGUUAAUAAAAGAAGCUUGUAUUUC